ACACAGCCAGUCAACGCUGGGACAAUAUUCUUCUUUAUCGCGUCCAAAAACCGCGAAGGAUAAAAGUAUCAAACUCGGCGUGGGAUUCGAUUAGCUGAAGUCAAGAUGGAAACGUAAAACCGCGGAGAAGAAAUGGAGGAAUCGGCGAGCUGCGACGUUUUAUGAGUCCAGCGGAAUCCUAUAGUUGACAUUUCGUACGCGCAGCGUUGAAUUAAACGGUAGUUCUCCUGAGAAAUCGAUCUCCUCGGCGGUUGAACGACGAGCAAGGAGGCGGUGGACGAAAUUGUAGAAGAAAUGGGGGACAGAUUUAACGCGAGCCGCUCCAACGAUAUCGUUCAUCCAGCGGCACACAUCCAGCGAUUUCGUCGCUGGCAAUAAACGUGCUCCCUUUGAGAAUUUACGAAGAUGCGGCAGAUCGCCGUUGUUGGAAACAUAUCAACCGAGAGAAAGAUGGAAGAAAGGAGAGAAUUGGAAAAGGGAAUGAAAGGAAAGAAUGAAUGGCCAGAAUGGGACAGAUUUUCAAACUGACAAGCGUAAGAGAGAGGAAAGUAUAGAGAGAGAUGAGUUAGCACGCGUGUCAGGGACGCUAGUGGUUUAUCUAAACGAUUAUCUUGGCCCACUUUACGGACAACCAGGAGAUGGACACGAUCGGUCUACGAUGGGUGACAGUACUCGAUAUGACACUCGAUAAAUUUACGAGAACGCUGGUUACGCGCUCACCACUGCCCCUCGACGUCUCUCGAGGACGACGGCACGUCGCGCAGAUGCGGAACGCUCUUCCCUAUAAUAUCUAUGGCUCUCGUAAAACCGAAGAUCGCCUACGCAUACCUCUCGCGUUCUCCAUCUCUCUUUCCUGCUUAUAUGACGUCCGUUCGUUUCGACCUGCUGUCGUCGACAGGAACGCUUGGGCCGGCGAAAAUUUCAAUCCAGGGUGCUCCAUCACACGCCGUCCGACCGACAGAAUUAAUCGACGACCAAAUCGACCUAACGAGCAUCUCCUACACGCGUCCCUCGUGACCCGUUUCGUCCUGGUCGUUUCAGUGAUCGAGGUCAACGAUUAUCGAACACGCGUCACAGCACCGACUCUGAUUUCUGUAUUUCUGUUUUUGAUGCGCUCUCUUACGCUUGGCUUGCUCUCGCAAAUUGCACCCGAGUUGGCUGAUCGCGAAUUCUUUCUUUUUUCUUCCAUUUUUCUUUUUUUUUUUUUUUUUUAAUAUGAUGCCGAUGUUCUGAGAUUUUUUUUGUGAAGUAAAUUGGAGAGCGAGGAUGGAACACCAGCCACGGUAAAAGAAUCUCAUCAUCGAGUCGAGGUACAAAGAUCCUUUCACGAUGGAAAGUGCUUUGGUAAAUUUAAUCACCGACCAACAAAAAUCGCAAUCUCUUCACGGCGUCGCGUGAACGUGCGCGUGUGUAGUGGCAGUUCGAACAAUGUUUUCGAAUCGGUUCUCGGUUUAGCGAAGGAGCAGCCGACGUCGAAGAGCGUAACGCAAACACCGG